CUCGGACCCGGUGCAAGCCCGGGUGGCUCUUCCGGCCGCCGAUCCGCCGGACCACG
rfam:Methylobacterium extorquens AM1, complete genome.